rnacentral:rRNA from 1 species
UACGUAGGGUGCGAGCGUUGUCCGGAAUUAUUGGGCGUAAAGAGCUCGUAGGCGGUGUGUUACGUCGGCCGUGAAAACCUGCAGCUUAACUGUGGGCGUGCGGUCGAUACGGGCAUCACUGGAGUUCGGCAGGGGAGACUGGAAUUCCUGGUGUAGCGGUGAAAUGCGCAGAUAUCAGGAGGAACACCGGUGGCGAAGGCGGGUCUCUGGGCCGAUACUGACGCUGAGGAGCGAAAGCGUGGGGAGCGAACAGG